GGAAAGCAUGGCAAUACAACAAACUGACCAAGAACAUGUAAAUUCUAGUGUUCCUACUCUCCAAGUUGCAUCCUUUGCUUCUAUAGUGAAUGGGAAUACAUCUACAUCGAAUAUGGAUAAAAAUUAGAAGUCAGAAGAACGAAGGAAUGCAAACACUAUAGUCCUGAAUAGGAACACUUCAAUUUCCACAGUUUGCAGCAGUACAUUUACCCAGAUGUCAGGAUGCAGAGAAGGACUGCAGGGCAAGAAAUAAACAGUGCCAUAAAUUCACCAUGGUGGUGAAAACUUCAGGAUCAAAUUUGCCACUACAAACUUCAUUUCAACAGCUUUUCAAGUAACUACAAAAGUUUUCCGACCAUCUAUGGUUCUCAUAAGUGGCCAGCUGAAGUCAACCUAAACAUUGGACUACAGAUAAGGACGCAGGUGCGAGGAAGGAACCAGGUUGGAGGCAAGAACAACUUACUGAACUGUCAAAUAAUUCAUCUUGAAACAAGAACACAAAAGAGCUUAUUAACAGACUGCAUGACAUCAUCGAAAGAUUGUUUUCACACAGAAACAUUCUCAAACAGGAAAAACUCCUUAAAUUAAUAACAGACUGCAUGACAUCAGAAAAUAACAAAGUAAUGACUUUGAGAGUUCCCAAAAGACUGCUUUCAUAAGAAUGUAUAUAAGUGAGAUGUAAUCUUAUUUCUUGUUAGAUCUGUUAGAGCUGUUUACUGGAGAAUACCUUUCAUGUUGUAUUGAGAAGCAACUUGAAGACAUUAAA